rnacentral:misc_RNA from 1 species
AACGCACCUUGCGCUCCUUGGUAUUCCGAGGAGCAUGCCUGUUUGAGUGUCAUUAACUUCUCAACUAUACAAGUUUUUACAACCUGUAUAGCUUGGAUCUUGGGAUCUGCGGGCUUUUUACAAAGUCGGCUAUCCUUAAAUGCAUUAGCAGAGCUUUUGUCGCUAACCUCUGGUGUGAUAAUUAUCUACGCCAUUGAGAGGCAAGAUCUUAAAGCUAAGCUUCUAAUCGUCCUUUGGGACAACAUUUGACAAUCUGACCUCAAAUCAGGUAGGACUACCCGCUGAACUUAA